rnacentral:rRNA from 1 species
UACGAACUGUGCGAACGUUAUUCGGAAUCACUGGGCUUACAGGGUGCGUAGGCGGCCUGCUAAGUCGAACGUGAAAUCCCCGGGCUCAACCCGGGAACUGCGUCCGAUACUGGCAGGCUUGAAUCCGGGAGAGGGAUGCGGAAUUCCAGGUGUAGCGGUGAAAUGCGUAGAUAUCUGGAGGAACACCGGUGGCGAAGGCGGCAUCCUGGACCGGCAUUGACGCUGAGGCGCGAAAGCCAGGGGAGCAAAAGGG